AAUCUACUCCCUCCGUUUGGAAUUACUUGUCGCGGAAAUGGAUGUAUCUAGAUGUAUUUUAGUUCUAGAUACAUCCAUAUCCGAGACAAGUAAUUCCGAACGGAGGGAGUACAAA
rnacentral:pre_miRNA from 1 species